rnacentral:rRNA from 1 species
GAUGAACGCUGGCGGCGUGCUUAACACAUGCAAGUCGAACGGAAAGGCCCAAUCUUGCUUGGGUACUCGAGUGGCGAACGGGUGAGUAACACGUGGGUGAUCUGCCCUGCACUUCGGGAUAAGCCUGGGAAACUGGGUCUAAUACCGGAUAGGACCACAUUUUGGAUGGUGUGGUGGAACGUUUUUCGGUGUGGGUUGAGCUCCCGCCCUAUCAGCUUGUUGUUGGGGUAAUGGCCUACCAAGGCGUCGCCGGGUAGCCGGCCUGAGAGGGUGUACGGCCACAUUGGGAAGGAGAUAAGGCCCAGGAUCCUACGGGGGGGAGGAGGGGGGAAUAUUGCACAAAGGGGGCAAGCCUGAUGGAGCGACGCCGCGGGGGGGAUGAAGGCCUUCGGGGUGGAAACUCCUGUCGCUAGGGAAGAAGCGUUUUUGUGACGGUACCUGGAGAAGAAGCACCGGCUAACUACGUG